rnacentral:lncRNA from 1 species
CCACUGUCAGUAAGCACAAGACCGUACUAAUUUGGACUUUUCUUAAUGCAUUGCAUCAAACAUGGUGGAGGUGGGGACAUAAGCUUGCGUACCCAUUUUUGAUCUUUUCGGCAUCUGUCCUGAACUCCAUUGCCAUAGCUAGUGUCCCAGGUAGCAUCAGAAAUUUAUCUUUUAUUUGAUACGGAAGAUGGAUAAAAAAAUAAUAAAUA